AUUGCUUCUCGGCCUUUUGGCUAAGAUCAUGUGUAGUAUAAGAAUAUCUAGUCCAACCCUUUCACUUUGUUACUGAAGAAAUGAAGCCCAAGAAAGGUUAAUUUAUCUGUGUCUAGUCACAGAGUUGGUCAAUAAACAUUUAUCAAUCUCUUCUCUGUGCUCCACAUUGUGCUAAGUGCAAAAUACAGUCCUGGUU